UACGGGGGGAGCAAGCGUUGUUCGGAUUUACUGGGCGUAAAGGGCGCGUAGGCGGCCACUGCAAGUCGGUUGUGAAAUCUCCGGGCUUAACCCGGAAAGGUCAAUCGAUACUGCAGGGCUAGAGUGCGGAAGGGGCAACUGGAAUUUACGGUGUAGCGGUGAAAUGCGUAGAUAUCGUAAGGAAGACCAGUGGCGAAGGCGGGUCUCUGGACAGUUCCUGACGCUGAGGCACGAAGGUCAGGGGAGCAAACGGG
rnacentral:rRNA from 1 species